GCGGCGGCGGCGGCCGCAGCCGGAGCCGCGCCCGUGUCGCCUUUCCGGUAACGGCGGAGGCGGCCAGGGGCGAGGGGAGAGCCCCGGCGAGGUAAAUCCCUGAGGCGUGAGCAGCAUUGCUUCCCCAGGGGUGGCUUCUUGGCCGUAGCAGUGACAGCGAAGGGUCCAUCCAGCAGGAUCAGACAGGCACAGUGGGAAGCGGAGCCAGAGACAAGGCCAUGAUACAAGACUGAGGUGUCCAUCCAGGAGCCAGGACAAGAGACAAGCUGCCUACAAGCCCACCCAGGAGGCAGGACUGGAAAUAGGUACACCUACCUCACAGCUCGGGUAAGGACUGAAGGCUCAGACCUGAGCUUAAACAGAGCUCCUUGGCCCACGGACAGCGAACUUGGAUGAAAAGUCCCAGGUGAGGACCACAUGCUGUGAGACGACACAGUCUGGAACAGAAAAGGACUGAUACUUUCCAUAAAACCUGAUACUGCUUUUUCUGAGCAGUGAAGAAUAAUUGGGAUCUCACGAUGCUAUACUGAAACAGUUCAUCCUUUGUGAUAGUUAACAACCACAACUUCCAUGAAUAAAUUACAGCUUUAAAUGGAGUUAUAAUGGAAAGGAAA